CCUUUCGGUUGAUCCCGCCGGACCCCACUGCUAUCGAGGUGGGACUUAGCCAUGCUAGUCGAACGAACAGAACUAUGUCUGUAAGUGGCAUACUGCUCAGUAACACGUAGCUAACCUACCCUUAGGACGUCGAUAACCCCGAGAAAUUGGGGCUAAUAGGCGAUAGAUGUAUUGUCCUGGAAUGGUAAUACGUCCAAAGGUAUCCCAUACAUGUUUGGUAUACGCCUAAGGAUGGGGCUGCGGCCGAUCAGGCUGUUGGUGAGGUAAUGGCUCACCAAACCUUUGACCGGUAUGGGCCAUGAGAGUGGUAGCCCAGAGAUGGACACUGAGACAAGGGUCCAGGCCCUACGGGGCGCAGCAGGCGCGAAACCUCCUCAAUGCACUAACGUGCGAAGGGGUUACCUCGAGUGCCACCUGAAGAAGGUGGCUUUUCCUUGGUCUAAAAAGCCUCGGGAAUAAGAGGGGGGCAAGACUGGUGUCAGCCGCCGCGGUAACACCAGCCCCUCGAGUGGUGGGGAUGAUUAUUUGGCCUAAAGCGUCCGUAGCCGGCCGGGUAAGUUUCCCGUUAAAUCCAGCGUCUCAAGCGUUGGACUGCGGGAAAUACUGCCUGGCUAGAGAGUGGGAGAGGUCAGCGGUAUUCUGGGGGUAGGGGCGAAAUCCUUUGAUCCCCGGAGGACCACCAGUGGCGAAGGCUGCUGACUAGAACACGUCUGACGGUCAGGGACGAAAGCUGGGGUAGCGAACCGGAUUAGAUACCCGGGUAGUCCCAGCCGUAAACGAUGCAUGCUAGGUGUUGGGUUGGCCACGAGCCACCCCAGUGCCGCAGGGAAGCCGUUAAGCAUGCCGCCUGGGAAGUACGAUCGCAAGAUUGAAACU
rnacentral:rRNA from 1 species